GCCAGCGGCGAUAGAACGUUGAAAGCACCAGUUACCAUACAUCACCAAGGUUAAGCAACGUUGCGCGUGGUUAGUAUUCGAAUGGGUGACCAUUUGGACAAUCGCGUGCUGAUCGCU
rnacentral:rRNA from 1 species